AUGGCUGAGCGGUAUAGCGCUUGGCAUCUGAACCGGGGGAUCCCGGGUUCGAAUCCUGGU
rnacentral:tRNA from 1 species